GGAGGGUGCAAGCGUUAUUCGGAAUUACUGGGCGUAAAGCGCACGCAGGCGGGGUUUAGUAAGUCUGAUGUGAAAGCCCACGACUUAAUCGUGGAAGUGCAUUGGAUACUGCUAGACUAGAGUAUAGGAGAGGUAAGCGGAAUUCCUGGUGUAGAGGUGAAAUUCGUAGAUAUCAGGAGGAACAACAGAGGCGAAGGCGGCUUACUGGACUAUCACUGACGCUGAGGUGCGAAAGCGUGGGGAGCAAACGGGAUUAGAUACCCCGGUAGUCCACGCUGUAAACGAUGGACACUAGAUGUCGGGAGUUCUUAUCCUCUCGGUGUCGAAGCUAACGCGUUAAGUGUCCCGCCUGGGGAUUACGGCCGCAAGGUUA
rnacentral:rRNA from 1 species